rnacentral:rRNA from 1 species
AGUCGAACGGCAGCACGGACUUCGGUCUGGUGGCGAGUGGCGAACGGGUGAGUAACAUAUCGGAACGUAUCCAAUAAUGGGGGAUAACUAAUCGAAAGGUUGGCUAAUACCGCAUACGCCCUACGGGGGAAAGCAGGGGAUCUUCGGACCUUGCGUUAAUGGAGCGGCUGAUAUCUGAUUAGCUAGUUGGUGAGGUAAAGGCUCACCAAGGCGACGAUCAGUAGCUGGUCUGAGAGGACGACCAGCCACACUGGAACUGAGACACGGUCCAGACUCCUACGGGAGGCAGCAGUGGGGAAUUUUGGACAAUGGGCGCAAGCCUGAUCCAGCCAUUCCGCGUGAGUGAAGAAGGCCUUCGGGUUGUAAAGCUCUUUCGCAAGGGAAGAAAACUUACUUUCUAAUAAAGAGUGAGGUUGACGGUACCUUGAUAAGAAGCACCGGCUAACUACGUGCCAGCAGCCGCGGUAAU